GCAGGACUCCAGGGCAUCACCUAGGGUCAGCAACCCCAGCCAAGGACACUCCAGUACCAAGGAUGCUCUGGAACUCUCCAUCACAACACAGCAUGCAGCUUCUGAAUGCCAUCAGCAAAGGCUUGACUUACCUCUUCACACUUGGUUUGUGCAUUUUGUUACCAAGCUGAGCGCCUGGCAGGCACACUUGUAUUUCCAGACUCCUCAGAAUAAAGAGGCCUAGGGAAGAGAAAAAGAGCUAGAGUGCUUACGCAAGCGCAGAGACACGAAACCCAGAUUCCACCGAGUGCACAGUGGGAAGCAGGAGACGAGGCUGCCCACCGAACAGAUGCAAGUUUGCCGUGCUCCGGUUCAGCUGGGAACGUGAGCUGGAAAGCAGAGAUAAAUCACGUGGAACUUGCUGUCAUCCCUCUACCUUCCCGCUAAACCCUUCGACACCGUCGCUUCACUGGCUGAGGCCGCUGUAGUUUUUAAAUGAAGGCUGGGAACCAGCUUUGGCAGCGCCGCCUCAUUUUUCCGCUAAUACCUCUGUGAAUUCUGCGUUCGCAUCUGGCCAGUGCCAUCAUGCUGGGUAUGAUUAUAAUAGGCUGCUGCUCUUUCCCAAGCAGGAAGCGGGAGUCCUGUAACCGACAGCUUAAACAGAGGCUGCUUCCAAACACAACAAGCGGAUCACAGCCAGGGAAGGGGGCUGCAGUGCGGGACUUCUCCCAAGGCAUAAAAAAGGAGAGGGAGAGAGAGAGAGAGAGAAAUGUGUUAACUGUGCUAACAGUGCCAAGUAAUAUGCUUCGUUAAAAAUUUAAUCACCUACAAGUGCAAAGCAAGUGCAAGGCAAUCAUGUUGUAAUUAGCACAGCAAUUAACACCUCCCUUUUCGAUAGCACAUGCAUCCUAGGAAGGGCAGGAUUGCAAGUGUUUAUGCUGCUGACAAGCGAGGUUCCUAUAGAGAGGGGAGGAAAUGUUUGCCUAGAAUUUUUUGAUGUCUGACAUUUGGGUUGUGUGUCCACCGGAGUUGAGAACCCGCUGCUGUUUUGGCUGUGUGCUGAACAUCACCAAGGUCCCUGUUUUACAUUUUCUCAGAAGCCCCUUCCUGGUGUCACCUUCCCUUCCACGGCAUUAACGUGUACCUAAAUCUACGCCUUUCCACAUACACUGAGGCCUAAUCCGCCAAGCCCAUGAGCACUGCUGGUUUACUUGUGAAUGAUCCUUCCUACCAAAAAGAAAUGUCUUCCUUGGCCCUUCAUCAGAAACUAACCAAACACAAAACAGCAAGAAAGCCUCAAUGGAAAUUUCGCCCUAAUAUAAUUCCUUCUAUCUGACCUGAAAACUUGGGUCUCUCCUAUAUCAACAAGGUAGUGUCUGAGGGCUCGAGAGUCAGCCCUUCAGGCAGGGGAGGGUGAAGGAGCGUGGACCUUUCUAAAAUAGCACACAAAGUUCAAAUCCAAUAGCUGGCCUGGAGAGGAGGUUGCAACUCUGCUCUCAGGCACUGACUAGAAAGUGCCUACUUACAUGGCAGUGGGAUAUCCCAGAGAUCUCAAUGUAUAGAAGUUAAUGGAGGAAACCAAUGGGAAGCUAGAGUGAGUUAUUCUCACUCCACACACACACACAAACACACACACACACACACACACUGAACAAAGCAUCUUUGGGACUGGGGAUGUCACUCGGUGGGAGAGCACAUAAGUACUAACCAUGAAGGCCUACAUUCUAUCUUUAGCACACAAAUACAUAAAUAAUGUCCCCUAGGGGUGGGCCUAGGCCCUAUCCCAAAGGACAUGACAGACUGUGAAGACCCCCCUGUGGAAGGCCUCACCCUCCCUGGAGAGCAGAAAGGGUAUAGGAUA
ensembl:lncRNA